UUUUUUUGCGGGGCGGGUUGCGCUCAACUUUCAAGCCAUUCAAAAAGUUCCCUCCGCAGCCCUGGCCCUUCGAGCCCGGUGAUGGAGGAGGGGGGGGAAUCCCUCCUGCCGCUCAGUCCGCAGGGCCCGGAGAUCUUCUCGCUAGGGAGCCUGCAGGAGGAGAAGGGGGGAGGGGGUUCUCCAUCAGCCAAAGAGCGAUCCAGGCGGGGCGCACAAGCUUGGUGAUGCGGAGAGGAGGAGGAGGAGGUGGCGACGCCGGCGAGGAGGAAGCCGAUGUCACCCGCGUAGUCUCUCUCUGGACAAACACACAAGAGGGAUGCGGAAAGAAGAGGCUCUUUUUCUCUCUCCGGGCUGCCAGAAAUAGACCCCGCCGUCCGCUUCCCCUCCCCCUUUGCUGGGAUCUCUCUUGGGAAGUUGAAGCUGCUCUUUGUCAACUCCAAAUCUGAUGCAGUUGGACCCGGAACAUCGUAAGCUGGGUGUGAGCAGAAGAGCAACUAUUGGGAGGGAAAAAACAAGUCAGAAAAAUUACACCACACUCACUCAGCCUCUCUGUUAUGAUCCUAGGCUAAAGAAGGAACUGGGAGUUCUCUUUUCCCCGUUGAAAGAACGGACUUGCUAUAUUUCCUGGCCUACACAUUCCAUUCCAAAUAUGAAAAGACCUGUCUCUUCACCCUGAGCGUUGGGCUAAGCUGGGAGUGAGCCCAGGAAAUGUCGAGUUGAUCUGAUGACGUCAUGGUGGGAAGUAUAUUGCUUCUGUACAGAUAGUCCUCAGUUAACAAUGGUAAUUGAGAAACAGAAUUUCUGUCCCUAAGCAGUAGGGGGAGUUGGCAGCAAUAGGUAGGUAAGCAGCCAAAAGGUGGUCCUAAGUGCAGGUGGGCAGAAGUGGGACUGAAUUUUAUUCAUAUGACAAGAGAGGUGUUGCUGGAACUUCAGGCAUCAGUCGUACGUCCCUUCAUUCGGUGCCUUUGUAACUCCAAAUGGUUGCUGAAUGAGUGAGUAUUAAGUGAGGACCAUCUGUAUAGAAGGAGACUGUCAUUGCAUUGUUUUUGUUUUUAUUGGUUGUAUUGCUUUUUUUUUUAAUCAAAUGGCUGGCCAUAUAAAUCUUUGACACGAAUGAAUAAGUAAAUGGUGCAUACAAGGGCUACUGAAUACAUGCAUUUUAACAUCCUAUUCUAAAAACACAGGAAAUGGAUGUGUCAUAUACAUUUAGCCUGCAUUGUUACAUUCAGUGGGCUCACUCCUACCUGUUGAUAAAAUUACAACUGAAAUAAACAUGUUUUCAGAACAAACUAGAAUGUGGUGCUUUCUCUGGGAUACGGCACGUGGUGGAAAUGAAACAAGAAGCAUGGAAGAGAAGAGAUGCGGUUUAGAUAAAACCUAGCA